rnacentral:rRNA from 1 species
UGGGGAAUAUUGCACAAUGGGCGCAAGCCUGAUGCAGCCAUGCCGCGUGUAUGAAGAAGGCCUUCGGGUUGUAAAGUACUUUCAGCGGGGAGGAAGGCGAUAAGGUUAAUAACCUUGUCGAUUGACGUUACCCGCAGAAGAAGCACCGGCUAACUCCGUGCCAGCAGCCGCGGUAAUACGGAGGGUGCAAGCGUUAAUCGGAAUUACUGGGCGUAAAGCGCACGCAGGCGGUCUGUCAAGUCGGAUGUGAAAUCCCCGGGCUCAACCUGGGAACUGCAUUCGAAACUGGCAGGCUAGAGUCUUGUAGAGGGGGGUAGAAUUCCAGGGGUAGCGGUGAAAUGCGUAGAGAUCUGGAGGAAUACCGGUGGCGAAGGCGGCCCCCUGGACAAAGACUGACGCUCAGGUGCGAAAGCGUGGGGAGCAAACA